rnacentral:rRNA from 1 species
UACGGGGGGUGCGAGCGUUAAUCGGAAUAACUGGGCGUAAAGGGCACGCAGGCGGACUUUUAAGUGAGGUGUGAAAUCCCCGGGCUUAACCUGGGAAUUGCAUUUCAUACUGGGAGUCUAGAGUACUUUAGGGAGGGGUAGAAUUCCACGUGUAGCGGUGAAAUGCGUAGAGAUGUGGAGGAAUACCGAAGGCGAAGGCAGCCCCUUGGGAAUGUACUGACGCUCAUGUGCGAAAGCCAGGGGAGCGAACGGG